UACGGAGGGUGCAAGCGUUGCUCGGAAUUAUUGGGCGUAAAGGGUAGGUAGGUGGUCUUGUUUGUCUGGGGUGAAAGCCUUGAGCUUAACUCAAGAAGUGCCCCAGAAACGGCAAGACUAGAGUCCUGGAGAGGGUCGUGGAAUUCCCGGUGUAGCGGUGAAAUGCGUAGAGAUCGGGAGGAACACCAGAGGCGAAGGCGGCGACCUGGACAGGAACUGACACUCAACUACGAAAGCGUGGGGAGCAAACAGG
rnacentral:rRNA from 1 species